rnacentral:lncRNA from 1 species
CCUGAGCAACCUGGAGUCCUCUGUCUUUCUUCCCUCAGUGAGAUGCGCCUACUUCUCCCUGGAGAAGCUUGAGGAAGCAGAAAUGCUGGAGAUGAGGUUUCUUUUUCUUUCUUUCUUUUUCAUUUUUUUUUAGACGGAGUUUUGCUCUUGUUGCCCAGGCUGGUGCAAUCUCGGCUCACCACUACCUCUGCCUUCUGGGCUCAAGCGAUUCUCCUUCCUCAGCCUCCUGAGUGCUGGGAUUACAGGAGACCUCGUCCGCACAGGGGCUUGUUCUUCUGUGUCUUUGCAGGGCUGUUUUGGACUCAGUAUUCACCUAAGCACUCCAAAUUUUUCCUUUUCUGCCCUGACUCUCACAGGGUCGUGCGGAUGUGCGAUGUAGGAGGAGGAGAGAGGUAAAGUGGAGGAAUAGGAGCUGGAGGGGAGGAGGAGAGAAGAAAAGAGGAGAAGGAGGGGGAAGAGAGGGAGCGGGUUCAAGGAGGGAAGGAGGAGGAGAAGGAGAGGAGGAGGAGAUGAGACCAAGGAGAAGAGGUGAAGGAGGAGAGGAGGACACAGAAAAGAGAAGAAAGAGGAGAGGAGACGGAGAAGAGGAGGAGGAGUAACAAAGGAGGAAGAAGAGGAAGAGGACUAGAAGAGCAAACCCAGCACACCCUGCCUGCAUGGCGCUGCGCUGCACCUUCACUCUGGUCACGGGUCUGGCAGUCAGCUCACCAAUUCCUCCUGCUUCCCUGGGACUUGCCGGCUUUUAGCACUGCAAUUCACUCAGCAAACUGGGACUGUUGGUCACCCUACCUGGCAGCCAGUGAUAAGGUGAGGGCCACUCCUGGGAGGGAGGACACCUGUGGGGAAAAUUCUUGUGUUAUUUAUUUCUCCUUCGGGAUAGGGUGCCUGCAGCGCUUCAUGGGAGGGGGUGGGCUGAUGCUGCGGGCUCUUUUAGAUGUUUGUUAAUUGCUCUUGGUCUCUCAUUAAUCCCCUGUGGGUCAUCCAGGAAACAUACUCACCACUGUCUGUUCUCUGAGUUUUCAUUUCCAGGCAUCCGCCCUGCCUGGAUCUCCUCACCUGCCAGGAACUUCCUCUCCACAAGCCGGCCAUCCCAGCAAAAGUUCUAACACCAAAGGUCUGGCAACUAGCCUGCCAUCUUGUGCCUGGAGCCGCCUGCGUGCCACCUACUCCCGAAGAUGGGAACCUUGUUGCCAGUUGGGCAGAUGCGGGGCAAUCCUGUACCAAGACCCCAUUUUACCACCUGCUUUCUCAGACCACUCUGGAACCCACUGUCUCAGAUUGUGUCCUCCAGGAAGCAGACCAUGAGAGGGAGUUGGCAGGGCCAAAGAUUUACUGGGGCUAACUAACACUCAGGAAAGGGAUAGGAAGGAAACAGGGCUGGAGAGCAGGUUGAGCCCGACCUGACAGUCUCGAGCAGCCCAACAGGGAGGUGUGGAGCAAGGGUUGCCCACUAGAGGGGCCUGCAUUGGGUACGGGUGAUGGGGUCCACAUGGUACCUGGCAUAUAGCAGGCUGUGCAAUCCAUAUUAACUGACUGGAUAAAUUAAUGCCCAGAAAAGGUGCCCUGGAGAAUGGGUGUGUGCUGAACACAAUAGGGAAGGGCCCAGCAUCUGCCUUGGCAUAGGCAGAACUGUGCUGUGCCCUGCAACAGGCCACCUGAGAGCUGCUUUGAUCUUGUGUGUACAUUAGAUGACUGCCAGGGGCCAGAUGGAAGCCAGGCCCCCUCCUGAAAGAGGCUCCUUGAAGCCAACUCCUAAAGGACCACUGAAGGAGUGUGGGCUGCACGCUGGGUGCAGCAGGUGAGUUUCCUCACUUGGGUUUCACUGUCAGCAUUUUAAAAAGGCAAACUGGUUUUCUUCCUGAGAAGAAUUCAUUGAUUCACUUGUGGCCAGUAAGUCAUCUGGGCCAGAGGUUGGUGGGGAGAUGAUAGGGGUGCAAGUGUCAUCUUCAAUCACAGCAUAACUGCCCUUGCUUUCUUACCUCUCGUUUAGAUAUUUCAAUGCUUGCUCAGGUCCCCUGCGCCCUCCUUCCUUCUCCCUUCCCAGCCAUACUACUUAUGGGAUGACUUUCUCUUUGUAAAAUGACCGUUAGUCUUAUCAAAUUAAUCCCAAAGUAAUACCAUCAAUUUCCCCCUAAAAUACCAACAAGACCCCUGCUUGAAACUGCUUGUACAUUAGAGACAGAGAAGAGUCCAUGAGAAUCAACAUUUUCUGAGGACUCCAACUGUGUGCCAAGAGAGUUCCCCUGCUGGUGCCUCCUCUGUAGUAAAGGAAAGGUAACAUUCCUGCAAGCUCCUGGGACCACAUUAUCAUUCUCUUCACUCGAGAGAUGAGGACACUGAAAUUCAGAGAGGGGAAGUGAUUUGCCUCAGCUUGUACUGUGGUAGAUCUACUUUUAGUGCUUUAAGGAGUCUCCAUACUGUUUUCUGUAGUGGUUAUAGUAGUUUACAUUCCCACCAGCACUGUAAAAGUGUUCCCUUUUCACCACAUCCACACCAACAUCUAUUAUUUUUUAAUUUUUAAAUUAUGGCCAUUCUUGCAGGAAUUGUGUGUGGUUUUGCCUGGCUUAUGAUCUGGGAAACUUGCAUCCUCCUGUUAGUAUGUCUAGUUAGCUCUGAGAAGUGGCUUAGAAAGAAACAUUUCAACAGAGAACCCAGUGGAAAUUAUGACAUGUUAUCUUCUCAGAGUCCUGAACUCCCAUCCCUACCUCAGAAGAGACUCCUCUGUUCACAGAAGCUAAAGGCAGUUCCUUCCCAAUGGCAACUAUGUUUGGAUGUUGGAUCUACACUUUCUCAAGCACUGUGAUCUUCAAAUGUAAGUUUAGUACAAAGGAGAUUUCUCCCAUUAUAUACUUCUUAUGAUCAACAAAUUCCAUCAUCUCCCCACUAAGAGAAAGUACUCCAAGAUGAUAGAAUGAUUUUAAAGUUAUGGGACUACAACAGCAGCCACAGGAACCUUGAGUAAGUACCAUGAACCCUGACCCUCAGCGUUAAUUUGUAAGCCUUUGGCAGUGAGAUGGAAUGUCUUCCUUCAGUUUGAAACAAAGGAAACCUAUUGCAUCGCACGUAAAUUUGUAUAUUGAUGCUAUAUUGACUUUGUAGCUGCCAUGCCUUCAUACAGACACCUCAUCCAGCCCCCACUGUUCCACUUAUUGUGAUGGUUUGUAUAUCUUUAUUUCAAAGAAGAUCUGUUUGAACCGUGUUUAAUUUCUUCUUUGACCUGCUUUCAUCACUGCCCAUGCCUACCCUGGUGGCAUUCUCAUCCACGAGACUACCACAUCCAUGCCACUAGGUGGCAUUCUCAUCCAUGAGACUACUGCACCCGUGCGCACGUCAAGAAGUAGCCAAGCCAUGGGCUGGAUUGUGCUUUUCCUGAGAGGAUGAAAGGCUUCAUGGAUACAUGCUAGUAUCCAUGUUCCUCUAUUCUCAAGUCAGGCACCAAGAUGAUGUUUCAUACCUGCCUGCCUUUCAAAGUCUCAUAAAUGUUCAUUGAAUAUCCACUCUAUGCAAGGCACUAGGGUAGUCACAGAGGCAAGGUUUGAGCUAAACUACAGGCCCUGCCCUCCAGGAGCUCCCGGUCUCAUGGCAGGGUGCAGAAGCCAGAAUAGAGGGCCAUGGCAUGGGAGAGAACUCUGCUGACCGGGAGCUCUGAAGGGUUAGGGGUCCAUGAGCCUGAUUUAUGGGGUCGUUGCCAUAGGAUUAGGGGCUCCCUGGCAUACAGUGAAUGGAGAGACUAGCAUUGCUGUGUUAUUUCACUGAGAGGGCACCAAUGUUCAGCCUCUGAGACCAGGGGAGGAAAGCAGUGGCCAUGAAUGUUCCCUCCCAUCCCGGGGACUGACUGGGCUCCUCCCACAGUCUCAGACACAGAGGAAGAAGUGUACUCACACUGCCCCAACACCAGUGAGUGGAAAUAUUUAUAGGUCUCUCAUUUGGUUUUAAUUUUUAUUUUUUUAUUUUUCAGAAAUUAAAAAAAAAAUCACACUCACAAAAUUAACCAUUACCCACAUUCCUACCAACAAGAAGUAACCAUUCUUAACCUUGUAAUAUGUUGGUUUCCAGAUUUAUGUUUAUGCUUUAAAAAAUUAUGCAGACAACAUAUUAGCACAUUGCCCCUUUUCUCAUUUGUUUUAAUCCAUGUUCUUCCCAUUUAUACAGGAGCAAUUCUUGCAUUCAGUUAUGGGAUACUAUAAAUGCCUAGUAUAAUGGCAGCAGAGAGAAUUACUAUGGUUGUAUACCUUUUCUCGCUCCUUGCUCCUCAAAUGCCUUAGAGUUUAAAAUCUAUUGUGGAAAGUUUGUGAAAUGCAGAACGGUGAAAAUAAACAAAUUACCAGUGGUUCUUUGGCUUCGGGAGAACUGUAAUUGAUGUUCAUUUUGGUAUAUUUCCCUCCAGUAUUUUUUCCAUAUGGUUUUAUUUUUAAAAAUUUUACCCCAUAUAUAUAUACAUAUAUAUAUACAUACUAACUACUCACAAAAUUAAAAUUUUCUUUUUUAAAGCAAGAAUAAUCUUUAUUCCUUGGAAACUAAUUUAUAAAAUUGUUAUCAAUAAGAUGAAAAGAUUCAUGGUAAUUAUUUUCUUGUUCAUAGUUUCUUGCUGGCUUUUUUUUGGAACUAAUCACUUCCAGGAAAGUGCAGAGGUCUUACAGUGAAGAGAAGGAAAAGCAUAUUAAUUGUAGCUGGACUGGGUCUAGAUCAUGAGAGCUGGAAUAUCCUAAGAUCUGGGACAAAGGGACAGCCAUUGGGCAGCUGUACUUUAUGGUAGGCAACAUAGCACAAAGAUUCAGUUGUUUCUUUUUUACCCCCUCCAGGACAAUUUAAAUGUCUACUCUGGUUAGUUUCUGAGAGUAGGUACCAUGUUACUUAAAAAAUUCUACUCAUUGUAAAUGAAGUUGUAUCAACACAUAACAACUGCCACUUGGAAAUCAUCUUUGUCUUUCCCUGAUGUCCCUUUUUCGUAUCCUUCUCUCUAGUACUCAUUCCUUCAGUCAGUGAAUUUAUGCUGCAACUUGACUACAUGCCAGGCACAACACCGGCACCAUUGAUAUAAUGUUGACUAAGACAGUGUUCGUUUUUAUUCCAAAGACUGCCAUCCAGGGCCAUGCAGCAAACAAGCAACAGGGAAAUAUCCCACUAUGCAAUCCUAUUUUGAGAUGAUAUUUAGGAUGAGAGAACAUGCAUUAGUUACCUACCAGCUUGACAGGAAUGGAUUUCCAAAUCUGACACACCAUAGCCUGAAUUCUCACCAGUUUGCUCCUGGAAAGGCCCGCUCAUGGUAAGCUCCUUAGAGUUUGUUAGUAGUGGGGAAGCCUUGAGUUUCAGGAGAACGUGUUUGGAUGGCAUUUUAAGAAGCCAUUCCAUUUUUGGUAGAGUAGAAAAAGUCUGCAUCUGAGUCUGUAGUACAGUCUGUUCUCUGGAUGAACACAAUGUCUCUCUCACAUUUUUCUGAUAUUUAUUCUGCAAAUCAGCAGCAUGAGCCCCUGCCACUCUUCUAAAUAAGCUUCCAGGCAUUACCUGCAUGCUGUGUUCCUGUGGUGGGAUGGCAGUAAUCUCUGCUAAGAUAAACGGGAGCUUCUGUGGAUAAAGCAUAAACGCAGUGAAGUGUGUGUGGCUGGAAGAUUUAAUGCCUCUACAGUGCUUAGAUACAAGUUGAGCUUGGAAUUCCAGAGGUAGAGCACUGCUGAUUGGAGACAUAUUAAGUAAAAUGUACUGUGGAAAUGAGAUAAAACCUUUAUUCUUGCUAAUGAUUGUCAUUGUAUGUAUUCAGGUGUCCAACAAAGGAUUUUAGAAUAAAGUGUGCCUUUAAAGUUUGUUUUCAAUGAUCAAAAAACAGAAACAACCCAGGUGUUUGGUUAAUAGGUGAAUGGUUAAAAAAAUUAUGGUACAUCCAUACCAUGGAAUACUACUCAGUGAUUAAAAAAAAAGAAUGAACUACUGAUAUAUACAACUUGGAUGGAUCUCAUUGGCAUUAUGCUGAAUGAAAAAAGGCAAUCUCAAAAGGUCACUGUUAGGUUCCAGGUAGGUGGGACAUGGCUUUAUUCAGCAGUUUCUUCACACUGUCGGUGCUGCAUUUAUGCACCUCACAGACCAUAAUGGCUCAGAGGCAGGUGAUGAGCCCUCCCACGUUAUGGCUACAUAGCUGUGAUUAUGUAAUGCAUGGGAUUGUGCGCCUGUGCUCCAAUCCCACUGUGUCAUACUGUGCAGGAUGUGUACCUCAGCCUAUACUUGACUGCAGCACAGCCAUUGUCCUUACAAUCACAUACUGUAAGGACAGUAUGUGAUUCCAUUUAUAUAAUAGUCUCAAAAAUGAUAAAAAGAUGGAGAACUGAUUGGUGCUGUACAAAGGUUAGCAGUGUUGGUGAGGGGAGUUGUGACUAUAAAGAGGUAGCAUAAGGAAGAUAUUUGUGGUGAUGGAAUAGUUCCAUUUCUGGAUUGCAGUGGUGGUUACAAGAAUACAGACGUGAUUAAAUGGCAUAGAAUUACACAUAUGCUUUGCACCAAUGCCAAUUUCCUGAUGUUGGUAUAG